CGCCUUAUACUCCUACGGGAGGCAGCAGUGGGGAAUCUUCCGCAAUGGACGAAAGUCUGACGGAGCAACGCCGCGUGAGCGAAGAAGGCCUUCGGGUCGUAAAGCUCUGUUGUUAGGGAAGAACAAGUAACGCAGUAACUGGCGUUACCGUGACGGUACCUAACGAGAAAGCCACGGCUAACUACGUGCCAGCAGCCGCGGUAAUACGUAGGUGGCAAGCGUUGUCCGGAAUUAUUGGGCGUAAAGCGCGCGCAGGCGGUUCCUUAAGUCUGAUGUGAGAGCCCACGGCUCAACCGUGGAGGGUCAUUGGAAACUGGGGGACUUGAGUGCAGAAGAGGAGAGCGGAAUUCCACGUGUAGCGGUGAAAUGCGUAGAGAUGUGGAGGAACACCAGUGGCGAAGGCGGUUCUCUGGUCUGUAACUGACGCUGAGGCGCGAAAGCGUGGGGAGCAAACAGGAUUAGAAACCCCUGUAGUCCACGUACCA
rnacentral:rRNA from 1 species